rnacentral:rRNA from 1 species
GACAGGGGGUGCAAGCGUUGCUCGGAAUUACUGGGCGUAAAGGGCGCGUAGGCGGUUGGAUAAGUCAGCUGUGAAAACCACGAGCUUAACUCGUGGCCUGCAGUUGAGACUGUCUGGCUUGAGUGUGGGAGAGGAGAGUGGAAUUCCUGGUGUAGCGGUGAAAUGCGUAGAUAUCAGGAGGAACACCGGUGGCGAAGGCGGCUCUCUGGACCACAACUGACGCUGAGGCGCGAAAGCUAGGGGAGCAAACAGG